rnacentral:lncRNA from 1 species
UUGCCAAGUUUUUCAGGAAGUGCUGGUGGCCAUUUUGAUGAUGUGAACUAGACUUUAAAACAGAAAGAGGAAAAAUGAAUGUGGUGGACAAGGGCUGCUGACAAUAUUAGAUAGAAUCAGAGAUGGAGUCUCACUAUGUUGCCCAGUCUGGACUUGAAGUCUUGGCCUCAAGCAAACCCCCUUGCGUCAGCCUCUGAAAGUGCUGGGAUUACAGGCAUGAGCUACCGUGCUUGCCUUCUCCUUCUCCUUCUCCUUCUUCUCCUCCUCCUCCUCCGUCUUCUUCAUUGUUAAUUUUAGGUGCAGCAACUCCAUCCAGGGGAUAAAAGAUUUAUUUAUUUUAUUUUAUCAUUUUUUAAAAUUUAUUUUUUCGAGAUGGAGUCUCGCUCUGUCUCCCAGGCUGGAGUGCAGUGGUACGAUCUCGGCUCA